CCUACGGGAGGCAGCAGUGGGGAAUAUUGCACAAUGGGGGAAACCCUGAUGCAGCGACGCCGCGUGAGUGAAGAAGUAACUCGUUAUGUACAGCUCUAUCAGCAGGGAAGAAAAUGACGGUCCCUGUGCAAGAAGCCCCGGCUAACUACGUGCCAGCAGCCGCGGUAAUACGUAGGGGGCAAGCGUUAUCCGGAUUUACUGGGGGUAAAGGGAGCGUAGACGGCAGUGCAAGUCUGGAGUGAAAGGCGGGGGCUCAACCCCCGGACUGCUCUUGAAACUGUACGGCUGGAGUGAAGGAGAGGUAAGUGGAAUGCCUGGUGUAGCGGGGAAAUGCGUAGAGAUUAGGAGGAACACCAGUGGCGAAGGCGGCGUACUGGACUGUAACUGACGUUGAGGCACGAAAGCGUGGGGAGCAAACAGGAUUAGAUACCCGAGUAGUC
rnacentral:rRNA from 1 species